UAAGGAAUAUUGGUCAAUGGAGGCAACUCUGAACCAGCCAUGCCGCGUGAAGGAUUAAGGCCCUCUGGGUUGUAAACUUCUUUUAUAUGGGAAGAAAUGUACUUUUUCUAAAGUGCUUGACGGUACCAUAGGAAUAAGCACCGGCUAACUCCGUGCCAGCAGCCGCGGUAAUACGGAGGGUGCAAGCGUUAUCCGGAUUUACUGGGUUUAAAGGGUGCGUGGGCGGAUGAAUAAGUCAGUGGUGAAAUCUCCGAGCUUAACUCGGAAACUGCCGUUGAUACUAUUUGUCUUGAAUAUUGUGGAGGUAAGCGGAAUAUGUCAUGUAGCGGUGAAAUGCUUAGAUAUGACAUAGAACACCAAUUGCGAAGGCAGCUUGCUACACAAUCAUUGACGCUGAGGCACGAAAGCGUGGGGAUCAAACA
rnacentral:rRNA from 1 species